rnacentral:lncRNA from 1 species
UAAAAUCUUUUCAUUGAAUAUUCUAUAUGCAUUGCUUGAUGAAUGAUAUCCAAGGAUAGACAUAUCUCUAUCAGAUUUGGCAUUAUUUUUCAUAAGAACAUAUCAAGCAUAACAUGUACGACUGAAAAAUAUGAAAGAUAUGCAAUGGUUCCUUUUCCAUUUUUCAGAAGAUCAAAAGGAGUUUUCAUCAAAAAUAGAUCUAAUAGAAAUCAUAUGUAUGACAAGCAGU